UACGUAGGGGGCAAGCGUUGUCCGGAUUCAUUGGGCGUAAAGAGCGUGUAGGCGGCCAGGUAGGUCGGUUGUGAAAACUGGAGGCUCAACCUUCAGAGGUCGACCGAAACCAUCUGGCUAGAGUCCGGGAGAGGAGAGUGGAAUUCCUGGUGUAGCGGUGAAAUGCGCAGAUAUCGGGAGGAACACCGGUGGUGUAGACGGCUCUCUGGACCGUAACUGACGCUGAGACACGAAAGCGUGGGUAGCAAACAGG
rnacentral:rRNA from 1 species